rfam:Salmo salar isolate Sally breed double haploid chromosome ssa15, whole genome shotgun sequence.
GGAUCCAUCUUACCUGACAGUGCUGGAUUGUACAACUGUGUUCUAACACUGUCUGGUAACGAUGUUUCC